rnacentral:rRNA from 1 species
GAUGAACGCUGGCGGCGUGCCUAAUACAUGCAAGUCGAGCGAACAGACGAGAAGCUUGCGCCUCUGACGUUAGCGGCGGACGGGUGAGUAACACGUGGAUAACCUACCUAUAAGACUGGGAUAACUUCGGGAAACCGGAGCUAAUACCGGAUAAUAUAUUGAACCGCAGGGUUCAAUAGAGAAUGACGGUUUUGCUGUCACUUAUAGAUGAUUCCGGGCCGCAUUAGCUAGUUGGUAAGGUAACGGCUUACCAAGGCAACGAUGCGUAGCCGACCUGAGAGGGUGAUCAGCCACACUGGAACUGAGACACGGUCCAGACUCCUACGGGAGGCAGCAGUAGGGAAUAUUGCGCAAUGGGCGAAAGCCUGACGGAGCAAUGCCGCGUGAGUGAAGAAGGUCUUCGGAUCGUAAAGCUCUGUUAUUAGGGAAGAAAAAAUGUGUAAGUAACUAUCCACGUCCUGACGGUACCUAAUGAAAAAGCAACGGCUAACUACGUG